rnacentral:rRNA from 1 species
UAUUACCGCGGCUGCUGGCACGAAGUUAGCCGGGGCUUAUUCCUCCGGUACCGUCAUUAUCGUCCCGGAUAAAAGAGCUUUACAACCCUAAGGCCUUCAUCACUCACGCGGCAUGGCUGGAUCAGGCUUGCGCCCAUUGUCCAAUAUUCCCCACUGCUGCCUCCCGUAGGA